rnacentral:rRNA from 1 species
GAUGAACGCUGGCGGCGUGCCUAAUACAUGCAAGUCGAGCGAACAGAUGAGGAGCUUGCUCCUCUGACGUUAGCGGCGGACGGGUGAGUAACACGUGGAUAACCUACCUAUAAGACUGGGAUAACUUCGGGAAACCGGAGCUAAUACCGGAUAAUAUAUUGAACCGCAUGGUUCAAUAGUGAAAGACGGUUUUGCUGUCACUUAUAGAUGGAUCCGCGCCGCAUUAGCUAGUUGGUAAGGUAACGGCUUACCAAGGCAACGAUGCGUAGCCGACCUGAGAGGGUGAUCGGCCACACUGGAACUGAGACACGGUCCAGACUCCUACGGGGGCAGCAGUAGGGAAUCUUCCGCAAUGGGCGAAAGCCUUACGGAGCAACGCCGCGUGAGUGAUGAAGGUCUUCGGAUCGUAAAACUCUGUUAUUAGGGAAGAACAAAUGUGUAAGUAACUAUGCACGUCUUGACGGUACCUAAUCAGAAAGCCACGGCUAACUACGUG